rnacentral:rRNA from 1 species
UGGGGAAUAUUGCACAAUGGGGGGAAACCCGUGAUGCAGCGACGCCGCGUGAGCGAUGAAGUAUUUCGGUAUGUAAAGCUCUAUCAGCAGGGAAGAAUUAAGACGGUACCUGACUAAGAAGCACCGGCUAAAUACGUGCC